UACGUAGGGCGCAAGCGUUGUCCGGAAUUAUUGGGCGUAAAGAGCUCGUAGGCGGUUUGUCGCGUCGGAUGUGAAAGCCCGGGGCUUAACUCCGGGUCUGCAUUCGAUACGGGCAGACUAGAGUGUGGUAGGGGAGAUCGGAAUUCCUGGUGUAGCGGUGAAAUGCGCAGAUAUCAGGAGGAACACCGGUGGCGAAGGCGGUUCUCUGGGAAUGACCUGACGCUGAGGAGCGAAAGUGUGGGGAGCGAACAGG
rnacentral:rRNA from 1 species